rnacentral:rRNA from 1 species
UACGUAGGCAGCGAGCGUUGUUCGGAGUUACUGGGCGUAAAGAGUGCGUAGGCGGUUUUCUAAGUUUGGUGUGAAAUCUCCCGGCUUAACUGGGAGGGUGCGCCGAAAACUGGAAGGCUUGAGUAUGGGAGAGGUAAGCGGAAUUCCUGGUGUAGCGGUGAAAUGCGUAGAUAUCAGGAGGAACACCUGCGGUGUAGACGGCUUACUGGACCAUAACUGACGCUGAGGCACGAAAGCGUGGGCAGCAAACAGG